rnacentral:lncRNA from 1 species
AACGUUCUGUCAAUACUCGUUUUUUUAUUUUUAUUUUUUAUUAUUUAAAAAUUUAUAUUUUAUAUUUUUAAAAUGUAGAAAAAAUUUAUAGAGAGAUGCAGUGUUAACUGUGAUAACAAAAUGAUCAAAUUAUCCGUCACUCUCUUCGUCUAUUCUGCUCAUUCGUAGCCUCUCCUUCUUCAUCCUUCGUGCCUUCCUCAACCAUGGCUCCGACUCCCUUUUCUCCAUCUACUCUCCUGCUCCUCUUGCACCCUCACCGCCCCUUCAUUUCGGCAACGAUAGGGAGGACAUCAAGGUGGGCAUGGAUCGAGAGAUGGGCGAGGGCAAAUGCGAGGGAGCAGAGGAGGGCGAGGGCGUGUGCAUGGGUGCAGACGGAGGGGUGGGCGAGGGCGAGGCGGCGAGGUGGGCAAGGCGGUGCGGUCGAGGAUGUCGGUGAGGAGGGAGAAGACGCAUCUGAGAUAAAAUUUUCAAAGAUAUUUUGGAUAUAAAAAUAGUAUAAUAAUAAUAAAAUAUAAACAAAAUCUUAAUACAACACUUACGGUGAGAGCCGAAAUGAAUAUUUUUUAUCUUUUUAAGGAGACAAAGUAUAGAUUUUUAAAUAACAAAAAAAUAAAAAAUCAAGUAUUGACAAAGGAUUUUUUGCAAUUUAGUAUAAUUUUUAUCAUCAUAUUUUUGACCGUCAUUCACCGCUCCAUUUAAGACGAGUCAGGACGAGAGCGAAUAUUUGAUCGAUCUUUGAUGGAUCGGGACGGAGGCCCGCUUCAUUUUCUUAGUGGAUCAGGACGGCUUCGUAACGAAUUAUCCCCAUUCGAAGCGGAUCUGAGUGGGAGCUCCACUAAUUCGAAUCCAUUCACAGCCCUAUUUGGUAGUUCAAACGCAAGCUUUUCAUGCUCUUUUUGCUAUUUAUUUUUAUUUCCUUUUUUUCCUUCAUUAAAAUCUGUUACAGAUUCUAUUCCUAUAAUAAAUACAAUCUUUUUCAAAAUUUAACAAAAAAAUCUUCCUAAAAAAGAGAACGAAAUUUGGGGGGAAAAUUACAUCCACAAGAUUCAAAACAUUUGGAUUCUUAAAAACGAUUUAUAUAUAUUUAACCAGAAUUUCAGCUUAAUUGGUUUGAUUUAUCAAGUUAAUCUUGAGUAAUCUUUUUAAUUAGAUUCAGUGAUAGUUUAUACAAUUAUAACUACAUUUACACAUACAUAAACAAAUAUAGAUAUAUUUAAACAAAUAUUCAUAUACAUAUAAAUAUAUAGUUUUACUUUGUUUUUAGCUUUAAAAUAAAAAACUACAACAUGAAACUUAUCUGAACUAUGGACUAUUUUCAAUCGACUACAUGACCGUUUAAAAUUUUGAUUCUACUCCCAACUUUUCAAUUUCUUUGGUUUGAAUCAGUCAACGAUACUUUAACUUCAAAUUUUGAAUGCGUCAUUUAUCUUCACGAAUUUAGUUAAUAUAUUUCAUACAAUUUUCGUAAUUAUAAAUUCGUUUGUCCAUAUUUUAGAUAAGUUUUAUACGUUUUUACUAGCUUCUGAACCCAAAACUGAGAGUCGCAACUUAGUAAAAAAUUCAAAUUAAACCAAAUUAAAUUUAUCAUAAAUAUUUAAUUAUUAUUAUUUUAAAUUUUAUUAUACAGAACUAUUGGUCCAAUCACAAACUUUCCAUACUCCUUCCCUUUUUUUUAUUUAAUUUUUUUUAUUCAUUAAAAUCUGUUUAGAGAUUUUGUUCCUAUAUAAUAAAAGAACAUAUUUUCUUUUUACCAAAACUUAACAAAAAUAAUAUAUACAGAGUAUGGCUAUAAUGCUAUCAACAAAAUCAAACAUUCGGUGCUAUUAAGUUUUUCAUCGUUAGAUUUAUUUCUUUAAUCAUUUUCAUCCGUUAGAUAACACUGCUCAAUCAAUCAUCCACUCAAUUCUAAAAAAUCAAUAUUAUUCUAACCGUACAUCCCUUUAUCCAAGGGCCAAAAAUAUAAUAGCACUAUAAAAUGAAAUUAAGAUAAAAGCAUAUAGAGAUAUAUUUCUGCGCUCUUCGGUGGGAGAGCAGAAAAUAUAUCAUAACCGACGAUAUGCAAAUGUAAUAUUACGUACGAAAACAAAUAGUACUUUCUCAUCGCACGUAACACAAUCUCCCCGCAAUUGGAGUUAGGGUAAAAGCAUAUAAGGAUAUGCUUCUGAUAUUUUUUCAACGUAUUUUUCAAUACUUUCUCACCACACGUAACGCAAUCUCUCCGUAAUUUCAAACUAAAUCAAGAAAUAAUAAAUCGGUGCUAUUAAUAAUAUGUAUAUUAUAUAUAUAUAUAUAUAUAUAUAUAUAUAUAUAUAUAUAUAUAUAUAUAUAUAUAUAUAUAUAUAUAUUUUAUUCCAUAAACAGAGGGAGAGAGAGAAAGGAAGGAGGAUUAGGUGCGAAAUCACAGCCGUAGGAUUGUGAUCUCUCUCGCCCCCACUCUUAUCUUUCUCUAUUUCUGUUUCCGUCCCUCUAAAUAUAUUCCUCUCCUGAGUGUGUGUGUUUUUAUUAGGGUUUUAGAGAGAGAGAGAGCAAAAAGAAGAAGAAGAAGAAGAGGAGGAGAUAUAUGCAUUCUUUUUUCUCCAUUUCCUUUUCACAUAUGCAACAGAGAUUAUUAUUGUUAGUGGGUUGGAAAUCGAUUUCCAUGCGAAGGUAUAAUAUAAUCCUUUUUUUUUUGUUUCAAUUUUUUUUUUUCAUAUUUUCUUAGAUUAAAUCCUCAAUUGUUUUUUUUUUGUUGUAAUCAGGGUUGGAUUUGGGGUGAAGUACUUUGGGUUCCAGCAUAUAGAAGCGUGUAAUUUCCUCUUCAUCUUCUUAAGAUCUGGAUUUGUUCCUGAUUAUUUCGAUUUUUGUUGAGAAUUUUGAUCGAGAGAGAGAGAGAGAGAGAGAGAGAGAGUGAGAGAGAGAGAGAAAGUAAAUGAAAAUGAAAAUGAAAAUGUCGGGGUCGAAGCGAAGGGUUAAUAAUAAGAGGUUGGAGUCGACGAACCAGAUCGAAUCUCGGCCGUCGGUGAGGAAGGUUCGGGUCGUGAUGGACGACCCAGAUGCGACGGAGUCGAGCGAGGACGAGGGAGGAGUCGGCGGUGGGAGGCGCGUCGUUGCCGAGUUCUUCGUCUACCCGAUAAACCCUAACCCUAACCCUAAAACCCUAAUGAAGAGAUCGAGGGCGAAGAGGAGCUUACCGAAGAACCCGAAGUCGUCGUCGUCGUCGUCGUCGUCGUCGCCGUCGCCGCCGAGGUCGUCGUCGCCGCCCUCCGCUCGGUUCAAGGGUGUGCGGCGGCGGAAGUGGGGGAAGUGGGCGGCGGAGAUCCGAAACCCUAAGACGCGG